CAUGCAGUCGAGGGGCAGCAUUCACUUCGGUGAGAUGGCGACCGGCGCACGGGUGCGUAACGCGUAUGCAACCUACCUUAUACAAAGGGAUAGCCCAUGGAAACGUGGAUUAAUACCUUAUAGUACUAUAAAGCUGCAUAGCUUAAUAGUUAAAACUUCGGUGGUAUAAGAUGGGCAUGCGUAUGAUUAGGUAGUUGGUAGGGUAAAAGCCUACCAAGCCGACGAUCAUUAGGGGUUCUGAGAGGAUUAUCCCCCACACUGGUACUGAGACACGGACCAGACUCCUACGGGAGGCAGCAGUGAGGAAUAUUGGUCAAUGGACGAGAGUCUGAACCAGCUAUCCCGCGUGCAGGAUGACGGCCCUAUGGGUUGUAAACUGCUUUUGUAUGCCAAGAAAUCUAUCUACGUGUAGAAAGUUGACGGUAGCAUACGAAUAAGGACCGGCUAACUCCGUGCCAGCAGCCGCGGUAAUACGGAGGGUCCAAGCGUUAUCCGGAUUUAUUGGGUUUAAAGGGUGCGCAGGUGGGAAUGUAAGUCAGUGGUGAAAUUUUGCGGCUUAACCGUAAAACUGCCAUUGAUACUGCAUUUCUUGAAUAUGGUUGAGGUAGGCGGAAUGUGUCGUGUAGCGGUGAAAUGCAUAGAUAUGACACAGAACGCCAAUUGCGAAGGCAGCUUACUAAGCCAUUAUUGACGCUGAGGCACGAAAGCGUGGGGAGCGAACAGGAUUAGAUACCCUGGUAGU
rnacentral:rRNA from 1 species